rnacentral:rRNA from 1 species
GACGAACGCUGGCGGCGUGCUUAACACAUGCAAGUCGAACGGAAAGGCCCUGCUUUUGUGGGGUGCUCGAGUGGCGAACGGGUGAGUAACACGUGAGUAACCUGCCCUUGACUUUGGGAUAACUUCAGGAAACUGGGGCUAAUACCGGAUAGGAGCUCCUGCUGCAUGGUGGGGGUUGGAAAGUUUCGGCGGUUGGGGAUGGACUCGCGGCUUAUCAGCUUGUUGGUGGGGUAGUGGCUUACCAAGGCUUUGACGGGUAGCCGGCCUGAGAGGGUGACCGGCCACAUUGGGACUGAGAUACGGCCCAGACUCCUACGGGAGGCAGCAGUGGGGAAUAUUGCACAAUGGGCGGAAGCCUGAUGCAGCAACGCCGCGUGCGGGAUGACGGCCUUCGGGUUGUAAACCGCUUUCGCCUGUGACGAAGCGUGAGUGACGGUAAUGGGUAAAGAAGCACCGACCAACUACGUG